UUGGGUCUGGAAGGAGCUUGUACAAAGGAAACCCACUUAGGAGCAGUCAGAUUCAUCAACUCUCUCUGAGGAGAAAGAAGAGGGAGAUGCUGCUCAUAGUACCAGUGUUGUUCCUAUGGAUGCACAUAUCACAAGUGAAUGGACAACAGCUAAAGCAAAUUCCUCAGUUCCUGCUCCUACAAGAAGGACAGAACUUCACCACAUACUGCAAUUCCUCAACCACUUUUAACAGCUUACAGUGGUAUAUGCAAAGCCCUGGGGGAAGCCCUGUUCUCUUGAUGAUAUUAGUCAAAUCUGGAGACGUGGUGAAGCAGAAUAGACUCAUAGCUCAGUUUGGAGAGGCUAGAAAAGACAGCUCCCUGCAGAUCACGGGGGCCCAGACUACAGAUAUAGGAACCUACUUCUGCGCAGAGACACAGUGUUCUCGAAACACCUGGUGCCUGUCCCCAAACCUUGCUGCGGGGCUCCAGGAGCAGCUCCUCCUUAUUUCUCCUCAAAGCAAGAGUCAGAGAAAGCUGAAAUCACAAUGUCUAUGA